rnacentral:rRNA from 1 species
UACGAUGGGGGCAAGCGUUGUUCGGAAUUAUUGGGCGUAAAGGGCGCGUAGGCGGUUUGACAAGUCUGAUGUGAAAUCUAUGGGCUCAACCCAUAGCCUGCAUUAGAAACUGUCGGGCUUGAGUAUGGGAGAGGUGAGUGGAAUUUCCGGUGUAGCGGUGAAAUGCGUAGAUAUCGGAAGGAACACCUGUGGCGAAAGCGGCUCACUGGACCAUAACUGACGCUGAGGCGCGAAAGCUAGGGGAGCAAACAGG